AACGAACGCUGGCGGCGUGUUUAAGACAUGCAAGUCGCACGGGAUAAGACAUGUAGUAAUACUUGUUUUAUUUAGUGGCGCACGGGUGAGUAACACGUGAAUUACAUGCCCUAUAGUGGGGAAUAGCCCAGGGAAACUUGGAUUAAUACCCCAUGGUAUCGAAAGAUUAAAGGUGGCCGCAAGGCUGGCGCUAUAGGAUUGGUUCGCGCCCUAUCAGCUUGUUGGUGAGGUAACGGCUCACCAAGGCAAUGACGGGUACCUGGUCUGAGAGGACGAUCAGGCACACUGGAACUGAGACACGGUCCAGACACCUACGGGUGGCAGCAGUCGAGAAUAAUUCACAAUGGGGGCAACCCUGAUGGUGCAACGCCGCGUGGAGGAUGACGGUCUUCGGACUGUAAACUCCUGUCAUCUGGGAGAAAGACCUGACGGUAAAUAGCCGGCAGGGUUGAUAGUACCAGAAGAGGAAGGGACGGCUAACUUCGUGCCAGCAGCCGCAGUAA
rnacentral:rRNA from 1 species